rnacentral:sRNA from 1 species
GCGUUGCGAAGUGGGAAACUUCUUCCGGUAGGGUGAACCUGCGGAGGGAUCAUUACCGAGUUUACAACUCCCAAACCCAAUGUGAACGUUACCAAACUGUUGCCUCGGCGGGGUCACGCCCCGGGUGCGUCGCAGCCCCGGAACCAGGCGCCCGCCGGAGGAACCAACCAAACUCUUUCUGUAGUCCCCUCGCGGACGUAUUUCUUACAGCUCUGAGCAAAAAUUCAAAAUGAAUCAAAACUUUCAACAACGGAUCUCUUGGUUCUGGCAUCGAUGAAGAACGCAGCGAAAUGCGAUAAGUAAUGUGAAUUGCAGAAUUCAGUGAAUCAUCGAAUCUUUGAACGCACAUUGCGCCCGCCAGUAUUCUGGCGGGCAUGCCUGUCCGAGCGUCAUUUCAACCCUCGAACCCCUCCGGGGGAUCGGCGUUGGGGAUCGGGACCCCUCACACGGGUGCCGGCCCCUAAAUACAGUGGCGGUCUCGCCGCAGCCUCUCCUGCGCAGUAGUUUGCACAACUCGCACCGGGAGCGCGGCGCGUCCACGUCCGUAAAACACCCAACUUUCUGAAAUGUUGACCUCGGAUCAGGUAGGAAUACCCGCUGAACUUAAGCAUAUCAUAAGCCGGAAGAAAGAAGGAAAUUAUUUUUAAAAUUUU